rnacentral:rRNA from 1 species
AUUAAUUAGGGGAGGAAAAGAAACUAACAAGGAUUUUCUUAGUAGCGGCGAGCGAAAAGAAAUCAGUUCAGCACUAAGUCACUUUGUCUCUAUGGCAAAUGUGAGAUGCAGUGUAUGGAAUGUCUAAAUUCUAGUAUGAUAUAUUAAUGAUUUAAGUCCUUCUUAAAUGAGGCCACUUACCCAUAGAGGGUGCCAGGCCCGUAUAACAUUAAUGAUUACUAGAAGACAUUUCCAAAGAGUCGUGUUGCUUGAUAGUGCAGCACUAAGUGGGUGGUAAACUCCAUCUAAAACUAAAUAUAACCAUGAGACCGAUAGUAAACAAGUACCGUGAGGGAAAGUUGAAAAGAACUCUGAAUAGAGAGUUAAAUAGUACGUGAAACUGCUUAGAGGUUAAGCCCGAUGAACCUGAAUAUCCAUUAUGGAAAAUUCAUCAUUAGAUUUUGAAUACUUAAAAAAGUAUUUAUAAAAAUAGUGUGCAUUUUUUCCAUAUAAAGGACAUUGUAAUCUAUUAAUAUAUAAUGAGAUUUUAUCAAAAAGUCAUAAACUUAUAGUUUAUUUAAAUUAUUAUGCUUGCAUUUUAACAUAAAAUAAAUGUUUAUUGAUUUGAUAAAGUAAUGAUAGAUUUAUAAUUUAUACAGUGCGUUAAUUUUAUGGAAUUAUAUAAUGGCAUUUUAAUCAUAGAUUAUUAUGUUUAUUAUAUGCACUUGUAUGAUUAACAAUGCGAAAGAUUCAGGAUACCUUCGGGACCCGUCUUGAAACACGGACCAAGGAGUCUAACAUAUAUGCAAGUCAUUGGGAUAUAUUAUAAACCUAAUGGCAUAAUUAACUUGACUUUAUUAUGGGAUUAGUUGUGUAUAUUAUUUUUUAAUUAAAAUGAUUUCUUAACACAAUCCCGGGGCGCUCUAUAUAGUUAUGUAUAAUAAUAUUUAUAUUAUUUAUACCUCUAACUGGAACGUACCUUGAGCAUAU